GGCUACUGUCGAUAAUGCUUCUAUGAGCACAAGUGUACAGAUACCUAUUUGAAUCCCUAUUUCAACUCUUUUGGAUAUAUAUUCAGAAGCUGAAUUACUGGAUCAUAUAGUAAUUCUAUAAUGUAAGAUAAGAGUUUGCUUUCGUUUUUUUGCAUGUGGAUAUCCAGUUCUCCCAGCACUAAUUGCUGUAGUUGCUGAAAGGCCAUCCGCCAUUGAAUGCUCUUGGCACUCUGAAAAUGUUUGCUGACCUCUGCUUUAGGAUAUUCAUCAACAUAGAUAACCAGGAUCACAUCCAUGUUCCUACAGGCCAGCAAAGGCCAGGUUUGUUGGUCUUCUGAGCUUGCAGCUCUACUAGGAGUAGUGUACCAAUUCUCCUGCCAUCAUGUGGUUAUGCAUUCCUGUAAAAGUUCUCAGCUAGGAGAAUGAGAGCUUUUCAACGGGAGACCAUGAGGCCUCAGUCAUCUUUCAACAACCUCCUUGCAUACUUGAGGAGACCGGAGCCUUCAGGUGUGUGGUGUGAGGUUAUGGAAGCUCUGCUGGGAAGUCCCUGAAGAAGUACGCAGGGCUGGGAGAACUCAUUCCCUCGUGGACAGUCAGCCGCCCUCCACAGCCCCUGAGCUGCACACACGUCACUUUGGAGCCAAGUGUGAACAGUUCUGAUUCUGAGGCUUUCACUGGGGCUGCAUCUCCCCUCGGAUGGCUGGGACAGUUUCAAAGUCAAACUCAAGUGACUAAGACAUCAAGAUUUAUACAGAUACAGAGCUAUGCAAACCUAGUCAUGAUUUUCUGUAAGUAGAUGUUUCUCACUCUAGGUUACCUUCAGUGAUUCAUAUUUUAAGUUCUUUUUGAUAGAAUUAAACAAUCCAAUAAUGUCAUUUGAUGGCUCUAUUCACGAUUUACUUCUGGACCCCAUGCAGCCCCAGGUGGCCUUUUAAGCGAAAGCACUUAAUUACUUCCUACAACCUAAGGGAAUGUGGGAUUACAAAUGCCGCUAGAUUAUUAAAGCACAUAUUUGGUUCAUAAUUUGUCUCUUCUGCUCACUUCCAUCAUGAAAUGGAAUAAUUUAGAGCAGGGAAUCAUGGAGAGCAAGGGGACACUUUAACAAGAUCAUUUGAAUCAACUUCUAAAUAAGAUUUAUUGAUUUAUUCUUAAUAUAGAAAAUUUGGAAAAUGAUGAAAUGCAUCGUGGAGCUCAAUUUUAUCGUGUGGCUCCAUUACUUAUUUGAAGAGUCAUGAAUUUCCAGGAUGUAAGACACUCCAAGAGUAGAUAAACAUUACUGUGGAAUUGCCCACUGUUUAUAUUAUCUGUAUCCUUAGCCAAUAAUAUGCAUAAUGAAGAGAUGGUCAAUUAGUAUUAUGAAUUAGCUGGCACAUAACUGAAGAGUUUGUUCAUGUACUUUAACAUUUUAAGUAUCACUCUUGCAAGUACAGCUUAUGACUAGUUUGUUAUGAGAGAAUCUGAGGGCAUAAAAAGUUCAGGUUUAUUUAUUUAUUUUUUAAGUGAUUUUUGAAUGGUGGGAAUUCCAAAAGCUGAGGAACUUUUUUUUUUAAACCAGAGUCAGAAAUAUUGCAUUUUCAUGACCUUUUCCUUCAUGAGUAACUCAGAAAAUUUGAUUCAAACUUUCCAAAAUAAAUUUUUCUUUGGCUUGAGACUAAAGCAUAAUAAUUUUCGGUUCAAAAGGAGCUGUUGGUGGACAUUUUUUUUUUUCCGACAACAUGAGAAAGGAAAGAAAUUCAGGCCUCAAAUAGAGUCCUAGUUGUUAGUUUAAUUAGGGAGCAGGGACUGUGGCGCCAUAAUUACUGGAAAUGAUGCACCCACAUCAUCCAUGUUAUUAGAUUGGGAAAUUUUUUACUUUCUUUUCUGAGGAAAAUAGAGAUGUGUGUCCCAAACUGAAAAAUUCCUACUGAUGUCAGUAAGCACACCAUACAUCUGUGAUUUGUCUGUAGGGAGCAAAG